rnacentral:rRNA from 1 species
AAUGAACGCUGGCGGCAUGCCUAACACAUGCAAGUCGAACGAGACCUUCGGGUCUAGUGGCGCACGGGUGCGUAACGCGUGGGAAUCUGCCCUUGGGUUCGGAAUAACUCGCCGAAAGGCGUGCUAAUACCGGAUGAUGACGUAAGUCCAAAGAUUUAUCACCCAAGGAUGAGCCGGCGUAGGAUUAGCUAGUUGGUGGGGUAAAGGCCCACCAAGGCGACGAUCCUUAGCUGGUCUGCGAGGAUGAUCAGCCACACUGGGACUGAGACACGGCCCAGACUCCUACGGGAGGCAGCAGUGGGGAAUAUUGGACAAUGGGCGAAAGCCUGAUCCAUCAAUGCCGCGUGAGUGAUGAAGGCCUUAGGGUUGUAAAGCUCUUUUACCCGGGAUGAUAAUGACAGUACCGGGAGAAUAAGCCCCGGCUAACUCCGUGCCAGCAGCCGCAGUAA